rnacentral:rRNA from 1 species
ACCUGAUGCAGCCAUGCCGCGUGUGUGAAGAAGGCCUUCGGGUUGUAAAGCACUUUCAGUUGUGAGGAAAGGUUGGUAGUUAAUACCUGCCAGCUGUGACGUUAACAACAGAAGAAGCACCGGCUAACUCCGUGCCAGCAGCCGCGGUAAUACGGAGGGUGCGAGCGUUAAUCGGAAUUACUGGGCGUAAAGCGCACGCAGGCGGUUUGUUAAGCUAGAUGUGAAAGCCCCGGGCUCAACCUGGGAUGGUCAUUUAGAACUGGCAGACUAGAGUCUUGGAGAGGGGAGUGGAAUUCCAGGUGUAGCGGUGAAAUGCGUAGAUAUCUGGAGGAACAUCAGUGGCGAAGGCGACUCCCUGGCCAAAGACUGACGCUCAUGUGCGAAAGUGUGGGUAGCGAACAGGAUUAGAUACCCUGGUAGUCCACACCGUAAACGCUGUCUACUAGCUGUGCGUGAAUUUAAUUYGUGCGUAGCGAAGCUAACGCGAUAAGUAGACCGCCUGGGGAGUACGGCCGCAAGGUUAAAACUCA